UAAGGUGGAAGGCUACAUCGUCACAAACAUGUCUGACUUCCGUUCGAAACGCCAUUGUGUUCCGGAUUGAUAACAUUAUGUCGUGGUACAAAAUAGCUAUACACCGUUUAAUUGAACUCUUCUAACUAAGGAGACGAGAUAGGACUGAAAUCACCAAAACGCUUAGAAAAUAUGUCAAUUUUCUUCCUGUUUAAAGCUUUUAACUAACAUUGACUAUCAGCUGUUUUGUACGGAAAACGUGGACUCUAAAUAAUAUACCGUUUCCCUGCUCUGCUGCUAUUGGCAAUACAUUUUUGUCAUGUCAUCUGCAACAGACGAUCAUACAUAUGUGGCGGAUUAUCGAUAUAGAUACAGCUAGGUAGCAAUAGCAGUGGAAGCCCGGAUUUGCAAGCAAAAUGAGGGAAAGACAGGAUUCUGAAAAGGAGCAUGUUUUUCAUUUCCACACAUGCAUGUGUAUCACUAUGGACAUCUAAUGUUUUUGUGGGAUUUUGUCCAGCAGUUUGCCUUAACAGAAUUUGUUUAUAUUUUAGUUUCAUAUUUAUGUGGAUUCCAAUAAAAAAUCAUACAAACUUCAUUCAUGAUUUUUUUGUU